rnacentral:rRNA from 1 species
UCCUACGGGAGGCAGCAGUGGGGAAUAUUGGACAUACUGGGGGCAAGCCUGAUCCAGCAAUGCCGCGUGAGUGAUGAAGGCCUUAGGGUUGUAAAGCUCUUUUACCCGGGAUGAUAAUGACAGUACCGGGAGAAUAAGCCCCGGCUAACUCCGUGCCAGCAGCCGCGGUAAUAGUU